UACGGAGGGUGCAAGCGUUAUCCGGAUUCACUGGGUUUAAAGGGUGCGUAGGUGGGGCUGUAAGUCAGUGGUGAAAUCUCCAAGCUUAACUUGGAAACUGCCGUUGAUACUAUAGUUCUUGAAUGUUGUGGAGGUGAGCGGAAUAUGUCAUGUAGCGGUGAAAUGCUUAGAUAUGACAUAGAACACCAAUUGCGAAGGCAGCUCACUACACAAAUAUUGACACUGAGGCACGAAAGCGUGGGGAUCAAACAGG
rnacentral:rRNA from 1 species